UUGGGCAGUCAUCUGUCAUUUUUUUCUUCUUUUUUGGCUGUCAUGUGUCAUUUGUGAGCAAAUAAUUUAGUAGAAUUUUUGGUAGAUUUUAUCCUCAAUCUAGUAGAAUUUGGUAGGUUUUAUAUAUAAAUCUAGUAGAAAACGAGGUUCGGUCGUUGGCAACCCUGAAGAUGAGUUCACGUGUCAUUUAGUAGAUGGCAGCAGUGAUGUAUUAAAUGAGACACGGUUAAACACAGUAUAGGCACAGCAUAGAAAACGCAACAGCAGUGACACACUAGUAGGCGGGAAAAGUUCGCGCACUAUUACAGCGCAGAUCGUCGGCCAUUUUGUGCGUAGUACCAGACAAUGUAGAAAAUCGACAGUGUUGCCGAUUUGUACAUAAUUAUCAGAUUUACUUAACUUUUAUGACAUUCAUAUUUUUAACAUAAUUUUAUACGUAUGCCUGUGGGAAUUAUGUCAAUAAUUGGGACAUAACACCAAAUAUUGACGAUGAAUGGCGAUUGUAUUGUUAAUCUUUUGCAUAAAUUCCAGAAAUUAUUCAAAAAGAAUCUCUCACGGGUAAUAAAGUUGGUGACAUCGGCAACACUGAUGAACCAACACAUCACAUCACCACUGAGAUGUACUACGCGAAAAACGGCGACCCUGUACUUUUCAACUUCAAAGGCGGCAUCAGGGAGUGUCCUUGCUGGUUUCGUUUAUUAUGCUGUGGUAUAGGUAAUAGGUAUUUAGUCCAUUCCGAAGUUGUAGUUUGUUUUGACAUUUCCGCAGGGUUGCCAAUUUAGUAGAUUUUCUACUAGAUCUAGUAGAAUUUCUUGUGAUUUAGUGGGAAAAUUUUAAAUCUAGUAGAUUUUAGAAUCUGGUAGAAAAUAUAGUAGAUUUUAGUAGGUUUUGGUUGUAAGAAAGGAAUCUUUUAUUUUGACAAAUGACAAUGACAUUAAAUAUUUUUAUUUUUGUAAAAAAUUAUAAAAAUAACCUCUAAAAUGUGCUAAAAUUCUAUUUUUGUUACGUUACCUGUAAUAUAUAUAAAAAGUAAAAAGAUCAUGAAAAAGAGUAAAACGUUGAAUUUAAUUAGUAUUUUGUCAUUUAAAGAGUAAGAUAACCCAUAAUACUCAUCCUACAAUAUUAUGGAAGUGCAUUUAGAAAAAGUACUCUAUUUUAGGAGUUGUCAAAUACUUUUGCAUAUUAUGGAUUAUGGGCACAUAAAAUGGGGAAUUUAUGGACAAUGUAUUGUUAGGGAAUAUCCAGUUCUCAACUACCUAUUAAUGACACCAUAGCAGAAUCUUCGACAGCAGUUGAAGUGCAUUUUAAUCAAUCAUAAAUUGCUUCAAUUGUUAUUGAAAGAAGGUUUGGUAUUUUAAAGAGAUUUUUCGUAUUAAUGUGUGAACUGAGAUGCAAUGCAACAUACCUUUUGUUCCAAUAAUAGCAGCUUUACAAAUAUUGCAGUUGUUUAGAGAAAACAUUGAAAUAUUGGCAACUAAGCCUGCGGUUAUUAAUUCAAACAAACUGUGGCAGUACAUUUAUACAUUUUUAACCAGGAGAAAGUCUAGUGCAACUUUUUGUGUAGUGUGUGUUUGUUUGUUUUAAAAUGUUGCCAUUUAAGGCAAAUACAGUAAAACCUCCGUUAACCGAAACCUUUUUAACCAAAACAUCGUUUAACCGAAAUGGCUCACAGUUUCAAUAAUUUUGUCAAUAUAAAGGAAAUUAAUCAAAAAGCAAUAAAAUCAAGGAAAAUGAACAUGUUUAGAGUAUUUUUUAAAGAAUUCUUCUUCUAUUUUCUUUUGUGUUUCCCUUUGACAAUGAUGUUUUGUAGCUAUAUCUCUCCAAUACUAUGUAAUCUGAUAAAAGAAGAGUACAAAAACAAUGUCAUUUUUAACUGAAAUUCUUGUUAUUUAAAACAGCAUAUCCCCAAUUAUUUUGGUUAACGGAGGUUUUACUGUAAAUGGCUAAUGUUGAUAAUAUAUUAUUUUUCUUGGACUGCAGUUUGUUAAUAAAUUUAUAAAUACAUAGGUACAUGAUAUUGGUGUUUGAUUUGAAGUAUCAUUUAAAGUAUGCUAUAUCACAUUCCGUUAAAAGAACUUCCACAGCUAGCAAAAAUGUAUGAAUAAACAAAUUGUUUUAAAGGACAAAAAAAUAAUAAGUAAAGGAAUUGGAUUUAUGGUGUUUUUUUAUAGCACAUUUAAAUAAACAAAUGCUGAUGGCAUGCAAAUGAAAGUGUAAUACUUUUGGUCUUAGUUCAAAACUUUAUAGAUUCUAAUGCAUAAAGUAUUAAAAUUUAAAAAAUAAAUACUUAAACCUUAUUUGUUUUAUUGUAUUAACCUGUUUAUAUUGUUAAUACCAUUUAUGUUAUAUAUCUGUUGUAUUAAACUCCUACUUUUGAAUCCAGCAUUUUAACAAAUUCUAAACUUUUCCACAAUGUCUCGUCUCAAUAAUGAUAUUUGUGCAUUCAAAUUAAUUUACAUUGCAUCUUAAAUACCUUAGAUUGCAUAUCAACCAAAGGAUAACAUGGAACAAACACCUCCAAAUGAAAUGCAGGCAGUUGGAUCUCAAGUUCAGACAAAUGUACUGGCUCCUUGGUAGGAUAUCCAAAUUGUCAUUAAAUAACAAAUUACUACUAUACAAAGCCAUGUUGAAAUCAAUUAGGAUGUAUGGUAUCCAUCUCUGGGAUUGUGCUAAAUUAACACACAUCACAACCAUACAGAGAUUUCAAUCAAAAGUCUUUAGACCAAUUACUGGCGCACCCUGGUAUGUCAGUAAUCUCACAAUGAUCUGAAUAUUCCCUUCGUAAUACAUGAAAUACAGCGUAAAGUGACCAACCAUGAAAGUCGAACAAGAAACCAAGACAACGAACUGAUCAAACAUAUCUACCAAUGGACGAAUACACAGAAGACUCAAGCGAACGUGGCUACAAGAUUUAAUAAAACAGUGAAAUAAACCUAUAAGACGAAGCAUCAUUGGAUGCUCCUCCUUCCUUGCUUAAAAUUUCAUUCAAACUUACUUAAAACUUUUAAGAAAUUGAUUGUAAAUAAAAGUUCAUAAGGAGAAAAAAAUAUAUACAAAUGUUAUUUUAAUUCCGAUAUACCUACCUUUAAAAACAUUACAAAAGACAGCAAACAUACCAUUGUAGGUUUAGAAUUAGAGGAAAUUGAAAAUAUUUUAAGUAGUUGAGUAAAUGUUGUUUAAGUAAAUGAAUUUUGUACAAAAUAUACGAUUUGAUAUUUUUUGCCUAGAACUUAUAGUUGUCUUUUACAUGUUUACAUAUGGAUGCCUCAGAAGUCAAACGGUGUAAGUCACAUUCUCCCUAAAAAUGACUUAUGCGAUACAACACUUAUAAUAUAAUAUUAUUAUUUCCUUGUUUGUAUUUAUGAAUAUGUUACCCAUAUUAUAAUAGAUAGAGACACUUUAUUUCAUUUUAAUAACUACUUAUCCUUUCAGUUAAAUACAACUUAUUUUUACCUAUUUCUUCUUGGAGAGGAUAUUUUUGUGAUAUCUGCAAUCAGAUGAAAUUGCCAAUGCUUGCAGACUUGCAACAUUUUAUCAAUAGGGGUUUAUUGAGAGUUAGAAAUGAACUGUAAUGCACUAUUUUUACUGGAAAUAAGCUAUAAUUUUAUAUUAAAAUCAGUUUACAAUUCAAAACGUUAAACUAACUUAGUUUUGAAGUAAAAUUUUUGAUAGUAAACUGUGUUAAGCACAAGAAAGUGACGUUAAAAAAAUUAAAUGUACAAAAUGUAUUAGAAUUUAAAAAAAAAGGGUAGUUCUUAAUCAAUGGUAUUAGUUAAAUCAACUUGUUUCUCUUGUUUUCACCACUUUCUCCUAGAGAGGAUAUACUUUUCUAUUCGCUCCGAGCGUUAACAAAGUGUCAAAGCAAAAUCGACCGACCUGCUCAUGGUGGCGGUUUUUUGAAAUUUUAUAAGGACGCUUUGUGUAUGUUUAAAUGAGACAUUUAAAAAAAAUGUCGUGUCACGCUAGUGAUAUUAUGUAUUAAUAUAAACAGAAAAUAAAAACGCACUAUAAAUUCUUCACUUUCCAAUAUUGAUUAUCAGUUUGAUUUUGUAUGCAUAACCUCACUAUCGCAGUUUAUGUCAAUAAAUAUUUAUUAACGAAAAAGAAAAUAUUUUGUUGCACUAUAAAUUACAGUAUAAAUUAAUAACUAAUGAAUUCUAACAAUUGUAUUCGGUUAUUAUCACUACAAAAUAAAAUAUUCAAGUUUAACAAAAUAAUCCCAUAAGACUCAAUGUUAAAACGUCCUUACAAAAUCUGACAGCGUAUCACGUGACUGUACGUAGAGGGGAGACGCACGGAGCCAAUAGAAUAAGUAUUUAACAUUUUUUUAAUUAUUUUUUAGAAGUUUCAAUUAUGUUGUUUAUGUGUGGUUUAUGUAAAUAUAAAAAUUAUUAUAUUUUAAAUAAACAUGGUUUUUGUUGUUUUUAACAUAUAAUAACCUGUCAUCUGUCAUUUCUUCUUCUUUUUAGCUGUCAUCUGUCAUUUCUUCUUCUUUUUUGGGCUGUCAUAUGUCAUUUCUUCUUCUUUUUUGGCUGUCAAGUGUCAUUUUGUGAGCAAAUAAUUUAGUAGCAUUUUUGGUAGAUUUUAUCCUCCAUCUAGUAGAAUUUAGUAGAUUUUAUACCUAAAUCUAGUAGAAAACGACGUUCGGUCGUUGGCAACCCUGCAUUUCCGUUUUAUUUAACCUAACCUAUGUUUUGUUGUUUGGUUGUAUACAAGGAGUUAUAUAUUGAAAUUGAAUUGAUUCUUGUUUCAUUGAAUUAUUGAAUAUAGAGGAGUUGUUCCGAGUUGUAUAUUGAAAUUGAAUUGUUUCUUGUUUCAUUGAAUAUAGAGGAGUUGUUCUGUUGCAAGUUGUUCUAGUUUUGUUGUUUUAAAAUCUGAGAAAAACUAUUUAUAGAUAAUGGUGAACUUAAACAAGAAAUGGGCAUGCAGUUUGCUGAUUACUUAAUUGUGUACUCACAACACAUAGGAUUUCUCUGACACAGUUUCCAGUACAGAACUGCCACAGGAAUCUCCAGUGGAGUUGCAACCGCUCUCACGGACGUCCACAAAUCAAGUUACAAAACUGUUACAUGACUCUCUAUUGGAGUUGCAACCGCAAUUGGAUAAAAGUGAAAUUCGAAUAAUGCCAGAAAUACUAUAACCGUCCAAAGUGAUAGUGUGAAAUUAGAAUCAAAUGAUUAUGUAUAAAUCAUAUUGAUAAUAAUUAUAAAUAGUAGCUGUAUUUUUUAAAUAAACAGAUUUGAUAAGUUA